AACGAACGCUGGCGGCAUGCCUAACACAUGCAAGUCGAACGAGACCUUCGGGACUAGUGGCGCACGGGUGCGUAACGCGUGGGAACCUGCCCUUAGGUUCGGAAUAACUCCCCGAAAGGGGUGCUAAUACCGGAUAAUGUCUUCGGACCAAAGAUUUAUCGCCUUUGGAUGGGCACGCGUUGGAUUAGCUAGUUGGUAGGGUAAAAGCCUACCAAGGCGACGAUCCAUAGCUGGUCUGAGAGGAUGAUCAGCCACACUGGGACUGAGACGCGGCCCAGACUCCUACGGGAGGCAGCAGUGGGGAAUAUUGGACAAUGGGCGAAAGCAUGAUCCAGCAAUGCCGCGUGAGUGAUGAAGGCCUUAGGGUUGUAAAGCUCUUUUACCCGGGAUGAUAAUGACAGUACCGGGAGAAUAAGCUCCGGCUAACUCCGUG
rnacentral:rRNA from 1 species